UUUUCUGGUCCUGGACUUUUUUUGAUUGGUAGGGUAUGUAUUACUGCCUCAAUUGUAGAACCCAUUAUUGAUCUAUUCAGAGAUUCAAUUUCUUCCUGCUUCACACUUAGGA